rnacentral:tRNA from 1 species
UGGGGCAUAACUCAGUUGGCGGGGUACUUGCCUAGCAUGCGGGAAGUCCUAGGUUCAAUUCCUAGGACCCAA